GACGAACGCGGCGGCGUGCUUAUACAUGCAAGUAGAACGCUGAAGGAGGAGCUUGCUUCUCGGGAUGAGUUGCGAACGGGUGAGUAACGCGUAGGUAACCUGCCUGGUAGCGGGGGAUAACUAUUGGAAACGAUAGCUAAUACCGCAUAAGAGUAGAUGUUGCAUGACAUUUGCUUAAAAGGUGCAAUUGCAUCACUACCAGAUGGACCUGCGUUGUAUUAGCUAGUUGGUGGGGUAACGGCUCACCAAGGCGACGAUACAUAGCCGACCUGAGAGGGUGAUCGGCCACACUGGGACUGAGACACGGCCCAGACUCCUACGGGAGGCAGCAGUAGGGAAUCUUCGGCAAUGGACGGAAGUCUGACCGAGCAACGCCGCGUGAGUGAAGAAGGUUUUCGGAUCGUAAAGCUCUGUUGUAAGAGAAGAACGAGUGUGAGAGUGGAAAGUUCACACUGUGACGGUAUCUUACCAGAAAGGGACGGCUAACUACGUGCCAGCAGCCGCGGUAAUACGUAGGUGGCAAGCGUUAUCCGGAUUUAUUGGGCGUAAAGAGAGUGCAGGCGGUUUUCUAAGUCUGAUGUGAAAGCCUUCGGCUUAACCGGAGAAGUGCAUCGGAAACUGGAUAACUUGAGUGCAGAAGAGGGUAGUGGAACUCCAUGUGUAGCGGUGGAAUGCGUAGAUAUAUGGAAGAACACCAGUGGCGAAGGCGGCUACCUGGUCUGCAACUGACGCUGAGACUCGAAAGCAUGGGUAGCGAACAGG
rnacentral:rRNA from 1 species